AAACGGUGAGUACUAAGUGUUAGCAACAUUCCACGUUGUCCGUGCCGCAGCUAACGCAUUAAGUACCCCGCCUGGGGAGUACGGUCGCAAGACUGAAACUCAAAGGAAUUGACGGGGGCCCGCACAAGCGGUGGAGCAUGUGGUUUAAUUCGAAGCAACGCGAAGAACCUUACCAGGUCUUGACAUCCUCUGGCAAUCCUAGAGAUAGGGCGUCCCCUUCGGGGGCAGAGUGACAGGUGGUGCAUGGUUGUCGUCAGCUCGUGUCGUGAGAUGUUGGGUUAAGUCCCGCAACGAGCGCAACCCUUGUUCUUAGUUGCCAGCAUGCAGUUGGGGACUCAAAGGAGACCGCCGGGGACAAACCGGAGGAAGGUGGGGACGACGUCAAAUCAUCAUGCCCCUUAUGACCUGGGCUACACACGUGCUACAAUGGCCAGAACAAAGGGCAGCGAUACCGCGAGGUGAAGCCAAUCCCAAAAAGCCGGUCUCAGUUCGGAUCGCGGUCUGCAACUCGACCGCGUGAAGUCGGAAUCGCUAGUAAUCGUGGAUCAGCAUUGCCGCGGUGAAUACGUUCCCGGGCCUUGUACACACCGCCCGUCACACCACGAAAGUUUGUAACACCCGAAGUCGGUGAGGUAACCUUUAGG
rnacentral:rRNA from 1 species